rnacentral:rRNA from 1 species
AUUGAUUUUAUUAUUUAAAAAUUUUUAAAAAAAAUAUUUUUUUGUUUUAUUAUUUUUUAGAAAAAAUUAUUUUUAUUAUAGUUAAAUAGUAUAGUGAUAGAAUUAUUAAUUUAAUUAAAUAUUUAAAAGAAAAAUUUAUUUUUUGUACCUUGUGUAUCAGGGUUUAUUAAAUAAUAAUUAAAAAUUUAGUUUUCUCGAUUUUAAAAGAGUUAAAAAAUUAUAAAUUUUAUUGUAAAAUAAAUAUUUAAAAUAAUUUUUUAGUAAUGAAACGUUAUUCGUUUUUAAAUAUAUCUAGUUUUUAAAGAAAAGAAUUAAAUUCUAUUUAUAUAUUUAUAUAUAAUUAAUUUUUUAAUUUUAUAUAAUAUAUAAAAAAUAUUUUUAGGGAUAAGCUUAAAAAUAGAUUAUUAAAAAUAAUUUUUAAUUAAAAAAAUGUAGGAUUAGAAAUUUUCAUCAAAUAAUUUGUUAUAAUUAAUUUUUUUUAAAAUUUAAUUUUUUAAAAUUUUAAUUUAUUUAUUUAAAUUAUUAAUUUAAUUUUUAAAUUAAUGUAAUAAUGAUAAAAUUAGUAUAAAAAUAUAUAAUAAUAAUUAAUUUAUUUUAGGUUAAGUAAAGGAAUUCGGCAAAUAUAUUUCUCGCCUGUUUAUUAAAAACAUGUCUUUUUGAUUAUAAUUUAAAGUCUGACCUGCCCACUGAGUAUUUAAAGGGCCGCGGUAUUUUGACCGUGCGAAGGUAGCAUAAUAAUUAGUUUUUUAAUUAAAAGCUGGUAUGAACGGUUGAACGAGGGGAUAACUGUCUCUAUUUAAUUUUAUUAGAACUUUAUUUUUAAGUUAAAAAGCUUAAAUUAAUUUAAAAGACGAGAAGACCCUAUAGAGUUUUAUAUUUAUUUUUUUUUAAAAUUUAAAGAAUUUUUUUUUUUAUUAAAAAAAGAAUAUUUUAUUGGGGUGAUAGAAAAAUUUAAUUAACUUUUUUUUUAUAAAAACAUUUAUUUAUGAUUUUUUGAUCCAUUUAUUAUGAUUAUUAGAUUAAAUUACCUUAGGGAUAACAGCGUUAUUUCUUUAAAGAGUUCAAAUCGAAAAAGAAGUUUGCGACCUCGAUGUUGGAUUAAAAUUUAUUUUUGGUGUAGGGGCUAAAAAAAUAGGUCUGUUCGACCUUUAAAAUUUUACAUGAUCUGAGUUUAAACCGGCGUGAGCCAGGUUGGUUUCUAUCUUUAAAAAAUUAAAAUAUUUUAGUACGAAAGGACCAAGUAUUUAUAUAAAUUAUUAAAAAUUGAAUUUUAUUAAUA